rnacentral:rRNA from 1 species
UACGGGGGGAGCAAGCGUUGUUCGGAUUUACUGGGCGUAAAGGGCGCGUAGGCGGCGCAACAAGUCACUUGUGAAAUCUCCGGGCUUAACCCGGAGCGGUCAAGUGAUACUGUCGUGCUAGAGUGCGGAAGGGGCUACUGGAAUUCUCGGUGUAGCGGUGAAAUGCGUAGAUAUCGAGAGGAACACCUGCGGCGAAGGCGGGUAGCUGGGCCGACACUGACGCUGAUGCGCGAAGCCAGGGGAGCGAACGGG